GUGCUCACUUCAGCAGGACAUAUACUAAAAUUAGAAUAAUACAGAGAAGAUUAGCAUGGCCCCUGUGCAAGGAUAACAUGCACAUUUUUGAAGUGUUCCAUAUGUUU